UACGUAGGUGGCAAGCGUUGUCCGGAUUUACUGGGCGUAAAGAGCGCGCAGGCGGUCGAGUAAGUCGAAUGUGAAAGCCCCCGGCUUAACUGGGGAGGGUCAUUCGAUACUGUUCGACUUGAAGGCAGGAGAGGGCAGCAGAAUUCCCGGUGUAGUGGUGAAAUGCGUAGAUAUUGGGAAGAACACCUGAGGCGAAGGCGGGUCGCUGGGCUGACACUGACGCUGAGGCGCGAAAGCCAGGGGAGCGAACGGG
rnacentral:rRNA from 1 species